GCUGGCGGCGUGCCUAACACAUGCAAGUCGAACGAGAAAGGGGAGCAAUCCCUGAGUAAAGUGGCGACCGGGUGAGUAACACGUGACUAACCUACCCUCGAGUGUGGAAUAACAUCGGGAAACCGAUGCUAAUACCGCAUAACAUCGCAAGAUCAAAGGAGCAAUCCGCUUGAGGAGGGGGUCGCGGCUGAUUAGCUAGUUGGCGGGGUAACGGCCCACCAAGGCGAAGAUCGGUAGCCGGCCUGAGAGGGCGCACGGCCACACUGGAACUGAAACACGGUCCAGACUCCUACGGGAGGCAGCAGUGGGGAAUUUUGCGCAAUGGGGGAAACCCUGACGCAGCAACGCCGCGUGGAGGAUGAAGCCCCUUGGGGCGUAAACUCCUUUCGACCAAGACGAUAAUGACGGUACUGGUGGAAGAAGCACCGGCUAACUCUGUGCCAGCAGCCCGCGGUAAUACAGAGGGUGCAAGCGUUGUUCGGAAUUAUUGGGCGUAAAGGGCGCGUAGGCGGUGCGACAAGUCACCUGUGAAAUCCCCGGGC
rnacentral:rRNA from 1 species